rnacentral:rRNA from 1 species
AGCAGCCGCGGUAAUUCCAGCUCCAAUAGCGUAUAUUAAAGUUGUUGCAGUUAAAAAGCUCGUAGUUGAAUUUCGGGAUCAAUACGUCGGUCGUGCUUCGGUACGUACUGGUGUCAUUGAUUUCUCCCUUCUGACGAACCAUGAUGUCAUUAACUUGGUGUCAUGGGAAAUCAGGACUGUUACUUUGAAAAAAUUAGAGUGUUUAAAGCAGGCUCACGCUUGAAUACAUUAGCAUGGAAUAAUGAAAUAGGACGUUCGAUCCUAUUUUGUUGGUUUCUAGGAUUAACGUAAUGAUUAAUAGGGAUAGUUGGGGGCAUUAGUAUUCAAUUGUCAGAGGUGAAAUUCUUGGAUUUAUUGAAGACUAACUACUGCGAAAGCAUUUGCCAAGGAUGUUUUCAUUAAUCAAGAACGAAAGUUAGGGGAUCGAAGACGAUCAGAUACCGUCGUAGUCUUAACCAUAAACUAUGCCGACUAGGGAUCGGAUGAUGUUAAUUAUUAAAUGACUCAUUC